rnacentral:rRNA from 1 species
UCUUCGGGGAUGAUUAAACCGGCGCACGGGUGAGUAACACGUGAGUGACCUGCCUUUUAGACUGGAACAACUUACCGAAAGGUGAGCUAAUGCCGGAUGAGUUAUAUAAGUGCAUGUUUAUAUAGGAAAAGUUGGGGAGACCUGACGCUGAAAGAUGGACUCGCGUCCCAUUAGCUAGUUGGUAGGGUAAUGGCCUACCAAGGCGACGAUGGGUAGCCGGCCUGAGAGGGUGGCCGGCCACACUGGGACUGAGACACGGCCCAGACUCCUACGGGAGGCAGCAGUGGGGAAUUUUGCGCAAUGCUCGUAAGAGUGACGCAGCGACGCCGCGUGAAUGACGAAGGCCUUCGGGUCGUAAAGUUCUUUCGACAGGGAAGAAAAUGCCUAUAAGUAACUGUGUAUGUAUUGACGGUACCUGUAUAAGCAGCCCCGGCUAACUCCGUGCCAGCAGCCGCGGUAAUACGGAGGGGGCGAGCGUUGUUCGGAGUGACUGGGCGUAAAGAGCACGUAGGCGGUGUUGUAAGUCAUUAGUCAAAGACUAGAGCUCAACUUUAGUAAGGCUAGUAAUACUAUAAUACUAGAGUAUCAGAGAGGAUUGCAGAAUUCCUGGUGUAGCGGUGAAAUGCGUAGAUAUCAGGAGGAAUACCGUUAGCGAAGGCGGCAAUCUGGCUGGAAACUGACGCUGAGGUGCGAAAGCGUGGGUAGCAAACAGGAUUAGAUACCCUGGUAGUCCACGCUGUAAACGAUGGAUGCUAGGUGUUGGGCUUUU